CGCAAUGAUUACUGAAUCACAGCGACACAUGAUGAAGCGUUCAUAGUUACUCUGAGCGG
rnacentral:snoRNA from 1 species